AAAAAAGGAUCAAGACAGAGAGUCCAAAUUGAAAAAAGUAAUGGGAAGAUAAGCAACUACAUGAGCACAUCUGUUAAAAACCAUAGUAAUUCCAGAAAAACCCGUUAAGACGGUCAUACACAUUAUACUAUUGUCAGCUGAGCCUGCCAUUUUCUGUAGUGCCUGUCGACAGUCUCCUGAUCCUUUUGUCCUCCAGGGAGAUAAGCUGCUGUCAUAGGUGUCCGAUCGCUGCAUUCUCCUCCCCUGACACCCCCCCCCCCCCUCCCAAUUUAAAAACAUAUAGACACUUAGCCAAGCCUUUAUGUGUAUGCUGCAGUUGGGAGAGAUUGCCUGACAGCUAUUGAAGGUGUAUAGGCUCUGGGAGGAGCAGGGCAAUGUUCCCAAUUAUGAAUUUUGCUGAAUGUAGAGAAGUUCUUGUUUUGUGUCAAACAUAAUAAUACAUUCCCUUCUGUUUAAUAAUGAACUAUACAGUAAAUGCACAUUUAUGAGAACACAAAGGGAGGAUUUAUAAAGAUUAGCGGGCAUGUAAAAUGAAGGAGAUUUCAGAAUUCUGACUGGUUGUAGUUUCACUUUUCUUAUGCACUAGUUUUCUGAAAUCUUCCCGUAUGUACAUAGUGUCAGAUGGUGAUUUAUUUAAUAACUUGUUAUAAUGAUGGUCACUUUUAUGUUGUGUCACUUUGUUCUAGACAUUACUUCUGAAUUUAUUUGCACAGUCACUUAUUCCUGUUACUUUUUGUUUUUGAACUGCAGGGUGAAUUUUAGAGAGCAGAUCUGUUCACUCGCACAUACGCUUAUUAAUGUCGAUAGUGCAGUCUACUUGUAGCCAGUCCUGUUCAUUUUAUUUCUUCUAUUUUCUGACCAUGUAAAUAAAGAAAUGAA